rnacentral:rRNA from 1 species
UACAGAGGUCCCAAGCGUUGUUCGGAUUCACUGGGCGUAAAGGGUGCGUAGGCGGUCGGGUAAGUCUGAUGUGAAAUCUCACAGCUUAACUGUGAAACUGCAUUGGAUACUAUUCGGCUAGAGAGUUGGAGGGGGGACUGGAAUUCUUGGUGUAGCAGUGAAAUGCGUAGAUAUCAAGAGGAACACCAGUGGCGAAGGCGAGUCCCUGGACAACUUCUGACGCUGAGGCACGAAAGCUAGGGGGAGCAAACAGG